UACGUAGGGUGCAAGCGUUAAUCGGAAUUACUGGGCGUAAAGCGUGCGCAGGCGGUUUUGUAAGUCUGUCGUGAAAUCCCCGGGCUCAACCUGGGAAUUGCGAUGGAGACUGCAAGGCUAGAAUCUGGCAGAGGGGGGUAGAAUUCCACGUGUAGCAGUGAAAUGCGUAGAGAUGUGGAGGAACACCGAUGGCGAAGGCAGCCCCCUGGGUCAAGAUUUGACGCUCAUGCACGAAAGGCGUGGGGAGCAAACGAGGAUUACGAAACCCCGGUAUCCA
rnacentral:rRNA from 1 species